CUCAGAGUCCGGCUGCUCUCCCAUCCCUCCGCUGCCCAUAUCAUACCACUUGUCAUCGCUGUGACCCCCACUAGACGCGGUGCUGGAGAGCGUAUUACUGCUGGAGUGGGAGUACGGACCCUCAGACUGUAAGAAACCUCUGGAAUGGACAUCUAAAGCUUCCUGCUCUGUCUGGUAUGCCUGGAACUCAUACGCAACUAGCCAGGCAUAGCAGUAAUGAGGAUGGACUGAAAAGAUCCACUAUCUCGAUGUUACAGUGAUACUGGAGGAAGAAGACAGAAAAGUAAAGCCCAGAAGUUGGUGAGAGAGAGAAAGAGGGGCUAAAGAAAGUACUGCUUUCUGCGUGGGAUUGUAAAAACACUGAGGGGUAACAUGGUUAAAUAACACAGAUUUGGUGAAGACUGAGGCUGGCAACCAGAAAGUUGCUCAUCUGAUUCCCACAAGAAACGAACCAUAAAUAAAUCACACUUGUGACCAAUAAAAACAAUUACACUUGUUCAAGAUGUACACUUACCGAGGUAAUUAAUGAUGAUCAUAAUCAUAUAUGAUGGUAUUUAGCUAAAAUUUCCAGGUACUUCGAAGGGAUAUACAGUUCCUUGCAAACUAUUCAUACCCCUUCAUUUUUGUUUUCACAUUUUGUG